rnacentral:rRNA from 1 species
GACGAACGCUGGCGGUGUGCUUAACACAUGCAAGUGGUGCGACGAACCAGAGCUUGCUCUGGGGCAAAGCCGCGAACGGGUGAGUAACACGUGGGUAAUCUACCCCGAUGACCGGGACAACCCGAGGAAACUCGGGCUAAUACCGGAUGUGGUACGGAGACAUAAGUCUCUUUACUAAAGGUAGCUUCGGCUUCCGCAUUGGGAGGGGCCCGCGGCCCAUUAGCUAGUUGGUGGGGUCAAGGCCUACCAAGGCAACGAUGGGUAGCUGGUCUGAGAGGACGAUCAGCCACACUGGGACUGAGACACGGCCCAGACUCCUACGGGAGGCAGCAGUGGGGAAUCUUGCGCAAUGCGCGAAAAGCGUGACGCAGCAACACCGCGUGAGGGAAGACGGCCUU